rnacentral:piRNA from 1 species
CUGAAAGGAAGGACUAUGGAGCGUCA